rnacentral:misc_RNA from 1 species
GAAAUGCGAUAAGUAAUGCGAAUUGCAGAAUUCAGUGAAUCAUCGAAUGUUUGAACGCACCUUGCGCUCCUUCGUAUUCCGAGGAGCAUGUGUGUUUGAGUGUCAUGAAACCCUCAAACCCAAGUUUAGGAUUUCGGUCCAUGCUUGAGUUUGGAUUUGGAUGCUUGCCGGUGAUGAACCGACUCAUCUUAAAAGUAUUAGCUUGGAUCUGUCUAGAUGACUGGUUUGACUUGGCAUAAUAAGUAUUUUGCUGAGGACAUCUUCGGAUGGCCAGGACCUAGACUACUGUCUGCUAACUAAACCAUCACUUUGAGUGCAUCUUUGGAUGUUACUCAUUGUGUAACUUUGACAUCUGGCCUCAAAUCAAGUAGGACUACCCGCUGAACUUAA